UGGUGGAGUGAUUUGUCUGGUUAAUUCCGAUAACGAACGAGACCUUAACCUGCUAACUAGUUGCGAGUACGCGAGUAUUUGACACUUCUUAGAGGGACUGACUAUGGUUAAUAGUCGGAAGUUUGAGGCAAUAACA
rnacentral:rRNA from 1 species